ACGAACGCUGGCGGCGUGCUUAACACAUGCAAGUCGAACGGAAAGGCUCUAGCUUGCUGGAGUACUCGAGUGGCGAACGGGUGAGUAACACGUGGGUAAUCUGCCCUGCACUCUGGGAUAAGCCUGGGAAACUGGGUCUAAUACUGGAUAUGACCUUUCUCCUUAUGGGGUUUGGUGGAAAGUUUUUCGGUGUAGGAUGAGCCCGCGGCCUAUCAGCUUGUUGGUGGGGUGAUGGCCUACCAAGGCGACGACGGGUAGCCGGCCUGAGAGGGUGAUCGGCCACAUUGGGACUGAGAUACGGCCCAGACUCCUACGGGAGGCAGCAGUGGGGAAUAUUGCACAAUGGGCGGAAGCCUGAUGCAGCGACGCCGCGUGAGGGAUGACGGCCUUCGGGUUGUAAACCUCUUUCAGCAGGGACGAAGCGUAAGUGACGGUACCUGCAGAAGAAGCACCGGCUAACUAUGUG
rnacentral:rRNA from 1 species